AGUCCGAGUUGUAAUUUGUAGAAGAUGCUUUGGGUGCUUGGCCCGGCCUAAGUUCCUUGGAACAGGACGUCGUAGAGGGUGAGAAUCCCGUAUGCGGCCAAUGUCGGCGCCCGUGUAAAGCUCUUUCGACGAGUCGAGUUGUUUGGGAAUGCAGCUCAAAAUGGGUGGUAAAUUUCAUCUAAAGCUAAAUAUGGGCCAGAGACCGAUAGCGCACAAGUAGAGUGAUCGAAAGAUGAAAAGCACUUUGGAAAGAGAGUUAAACAGUACGUGAAAUUGUUGAAAGGGAAGCGCUUGCAACCAGACUUGGGCGUCGCUGAUCAUCCAAAGACACUCUUUGGUGCACUCGACGACGCACAGGCCAGCAUCGGUUGGAGUGGUGGGAGAAAGGUUGCCGGAACGUGGCUCUUUUCGGAGAGUGUUAUAGCCGGCGACGCAAUACCGCCUACCCCGACCGAGGACCGCGCUUCGGCUAGGAUGCUGGCGUAAUGGUUGUAAGCGACCCGUCUUGAAACACGGACCAAGGAGUCUAACAUCUAUGCGAGUGUUUGGGUGUGAAACCCAUGCGCGGAAUGAAAGUGAACGUAGGUGAGAACCC
rnacentral:rRNA from 1 species